rnacentral:lncRNA from 1 species
AUGCCUCUGGCUAGAGACCUAUUACACCCUUUCUUGAAAGAGGAGAAGAAAAAGCAUAAGAAGAAACGGCUGGUUCAGAGCCCAAAUUCUUACUUCAUGGAUGUGAAAUGUCCAGGUUGCUACAAGAUUACUACAGUUUUCAGCCAUGCUCAGACAGUAGUUCUUUGUGUGGGUUGUUCAACUCUGUAGUGCCAGCCCACAGGAGGAAGAGACAGGCUCACAGAAGGCUGUUCAUUUAGAAGAAAGCAACACUAA